rnacentral:lncRNA from 1 species
GGGGGCAACAAAGGGUUGGGACACAAAGUCAUUCUCAGAAGAAGGAAAGCCUGGAAGAUCUUUCAACAGACUUCCUGGUGCUGGGUCUCCUUGUUCUCUCUUUAGUGUGACCGAGAGGCCAGAUGACCACGUAUAUGCCUAAGAGGAGAAGCUGCCACCUGUUGCUGUAAAUCUGAGACUCUGCCCAAAGGUGAAAUGCAGUCAGCUAAGUUCUUGGGUGCCUUUCUGGAUUUGAGAACCUGUUUGGAAUCAGCCAUACGUUUCCGUCCACUGGGAAAUGGGGUUGACCUGCCUUAGCCAGGCCUCACAUGCCAUCCUGAUGAAACAUUAUUUUAGGGGCUGGCAGCCCUGAACUGGCUUCUGUUCUGCUGGCCCCAUAGGCUGGCUCAGUUCCAGGCUCACCUUUCGCUACCCUUGUGGCUGCCACAUUGCCCAGCUUUGAUUUAUCGUGUCUUCAGCAGAGCUGUGGGCCUAGAGUGAUUUAAUGUUGAUAUUAUAUGUCACACAGAAGAUGCCAGCAUCGCCAGCAGAUCUCAUGUCUCCACUCUCCAGCAGUCUGGAUUGAGGGCCCUAAAGAAGGCAGGUGACCCUAAGGCCCCCUCUUGGAAAGGGGCUGUUGAACGUCCUUUACUCUUCUUAAAAUUUCCAUUUGAAACCUGUUUUGCUGCAUGUCACCCCCUGCAGCCAAUAUUGAUGUUAAUCUUGGGCUGCAUAUGCAAUGUGACCUCGGAUGAAAUUGAACAACUGGGUAAUUAUCUGUGGACCUAUUUCUAAUGAAAUAAUUGGAAUAAUUGGAAUAGGAUUAGUAGAACUGCAGAGAGACCUGUUGCUCCUAGCUGGGCUCUUAAUGCCAAACAAAAGAAGCAACGUGUCAGUAAUUCAGUUGGUGGAUGCCUUGGAGCCAUUCAAGAUGCAUUUUGCUCAUUAGCCAAAUCUCUUCCUGCCCUCAUCCUCCCCCAACAUUUGUUUCAGAUGUGAUUUUCAUGAAGCAUGUCCCUGUGUCUUGUUUGUCUUUGGCAAACACAAGUAACUAUUAUAAAUAUAGCAUUGGAUCUCCCUGCUCUUUGGGGACCCUG